UGUGAGCUACCAGCAGCGUUUUAGAGUGGAGGGGAAUCCGAGUGCUUUGGGAGGAAUGAGGCGACUGAUCUGCAAGCGCAUCUGUGAUUGUAAGUUGCAGCAUCAGGCAGGUAGAAAGGAUGCCGGGUGUGUUCUCGCAGAUGGGAGGAAAAAACAAGCAGCACUGAGAAGGUGAACUGCCUGUGCAGUCAGCAUGGCAAGCUGCUUUCAGGGAUGAUUUACACGAUCUGCUAAAACAUAUUUCAUUGUCUACAUAAUUUUAAUUGUUGAUUAUAUUGGCUGAAGCUUUAAAUAAUUAUAGAUGGGUUUUGCUUGUAUGUAGAAUAAUGUUUACAUUUGUUGUGUGUUCUAAUUAUUUUAUGCCAAGGCCUGAAACAAAGGGCUGUAAAUAAAGCAGAGAUUCUCUUUUUCCUUCCACUGUGCUAUGCUAGUGCUGCUGUGGAUUUUGCUAUGUCUGAGCUGCGAUGGGAGUGGAUGAGCCCUGUUUGCAAACCCUGCAAUAAUAGGUGUGUCCAUUCCUUAUUCUCUUCUCCUUUCUUUUAUUGUUCAUAGAUAAAAGCUUUGAUGAUGAAGAGUCAGUGGAUGGGAACAGGCCUUCAUCAGCUUUCAAGGUUCCUGCCCCAAAGAAACCUGGGAAUCCAAUCAACCCUGCUAGGAAGCCUGUGUCUGGAGUCAAGGGUGGAGG